AUACUCAGUGGUGGCCAUAGAGAGUUGGUGACUGCCUUUGAGAGGAGAAUGGUUGUGAUCCUUUUGCCGAGAACUCACCCAGAGGACUUAUACCUUGGUGACAGCAGAAGGACUCAAGUUAGAAGGCCAGGGCCCUUAAAGGGAGGGGACGAUUCGAGGAAAGUAUAGAUUAGAAAACUGAGGCCCAGAGAAGGAAAGUAGCUGCCAGAGGUCACACAGCUAGGAUUGAGGGAUCAGAGAGUUCCUCCUCCCCCACAAGCUGGCACAUGUGGAUAUUGGCUCUGUUUUGCCUUUGACCCCUAGUGAAAGAAAAUACUGAGACGGAGUCUCGCUCUGUCGCCCAGGUUGGAGUGAAGCGGCUAGAUCUCAGCUCACUGCAACCUCUGCCUCCCAGGUUUAAGCAAUUCUCCUGUCUCAGCCUCCAGAGUAGCUGGGACUACAGGCGCAUGCCACCAUGCCCUACUAAUUUUUUGUAUUUUUAGGAGAGACAGGCCUUCACCAUGUUGGUCAAGCUGGUCUCGAACUCCUGACCUCAGGUGACCCACCGGCUUCAGCCUCCCAAAGUGCUGGGAUUACAGGCAUGAGCCACCGCGCCCAGCCUCAUAUCUAUCUUUAUCACUCCAUUUCAGAUCUUCUUCCAUAUAUGGCUCUGUGUGUCUCCUGUCCUUCCCUGUCUCCUCACUGCUUUUCAGCUGGUAGACCCCUGUGGGGACAACAGAUCAGAGCUUGGUCACCAAUAUGGACAUCUAGGUCUGAGCAGGGCCCACUCCCCGGGGGCGCAUCAGCUCCAUCCCGGCACCCUUUACACUGGCCUUCUCUUCACAAAGGACCACAGGUCAUCCUCAAGCCUUCCUCCCAGGCUAUCCUUGUCCCUGAAUACUAAUGUCUAAAGGUCAGCCCAGCUACCAGCAGUGUGCAUGUGAUGUGUCCCAUCUCCCCUUCGGAUUGGAGGAAGAAGCUGUGUCCCUCCCAUCAGACAGACGGUCUCCUUAAAGAUUCUCCUGGUCUCCAGCUUGGGCUCUGCUGGAAAGAAGAGGAAGUAUUUAGCAAGGGUGAAGAUGGGUUCUUACUUCCCUGAGGCAACCAGAGAUAAGAAAAGACCAGAAUAUGAAUAUCCAGCAUUCCACAAAGAAUCCUACAGGCAGGGAUAUUGCCCAAUCACCAGUGCCUCGCAUCCCAGUUCUAUCCAAGAUCCAAGCUUGAUAUCCUCCUGAAAGACUUCCUGAAUCAGGUCACCAACAUGGACAUCUGAACUUCCAGAAUCAGGUCACCGUCUUUCUUCUCAUCUCUGGAUGUAUUUGGAGCUCAUUUGUCUGACGGUUUUUGAAUGCUAUCUUUUAAAAAUAAACUUUUACAAUUUGGGUUUAAUAA
rnacentral:lncRNA from 1 species